CAGUCGCCGCGGGAAUACGAAGGGUGCAAGCGUUACUCGGAAUUACUGGGCGUAAAGCGUGUGUAGGUGGUUGUUUAAGUCUGUCGUGAAAGCCCUGGGCCCAACCUGGGAAUUGCGAUGGAUACUGGGCGACUAGAGUGCGGUAGAGGAUAGUGGAAUUUCCGGUGUAGCAGUGAAAUGCGUAGAGAACGGAAGGAACAUCUGUGGCGAAGGCGACUAUCUGGGCCAACACUGACACUGAGACACGAAAACGUGGGGAGCAAACAGGAUUAGAUACCCGCGUAGUCCCUGUCUCUUAUAC
rnacentral:rRNA from 1 species